GACUCAGGAAACUUCUGAGUAUACAGUGCUAAAACACAUCGGUAUAUGGGUAAGAACCAAAAUGAAUACUCCUUAUCCGUGAUGCAAAUUGAUCAUCUCUCAAUUGAACAUCUCUUUGUUGUUUCAUUUGGUGAGCUUGGUUGUCAGUUUGGUGCAAGUUUCUGCAUCUGGAGUGUUUGAGACUCAAGAGACUGUGGACUGGUGUUUGGCGCUUUAAUGCCAAGAUGUGAAUGUGGAACCUUAAUGAGGAUCCAGCCUGAGCCUCACACAAUCACACUACAUAUUGACCAGCAACAUCUCCAGUAUAACCCGGAAGGAGAACUCAAGUCUAGUUCAGCGUCUUGGGGAUGAGGAGUGUGGGAGUCUAAAGCUGAAGCAGAUGAUGUCACUGCUGGAGCAUGAACUAGACCAAAUAAAUCAGUUGAUGUCAAAGCACCAUACCUUCAGAGAGAAGAAGGAUGUGAACUAUUGGACUGAUGAUGAAGUGCAAGUAGAUGUGGCGGUGAGGAGACAAAACUGCACGACAAAAUUGAUGGGGUUGACAGACUAACUGAUAUAAUCAAGAAUGAGAUAAAUCAUCACACUAAGUAUGGUCGUCAGGGAACCAAGCAGGCUGUAGGCUGUGGUGCCUGGGAUACUCAUUGGUUGCAACUCCAACCAGAAGUCCAACGAGUUGGCUGAGAUUGGGUGAGUGGAGAGCACCAGGGUUUGAGUCUCUGACUGAAAUCUAGUUGAAGCUGUUCAUGCAUCAACCAAUAACUAAGUUAGUGAUGCUGGAAUUUGAUGUGGUAUCUCAACAAUUUCAUCUGAGGUCAACCAGUUGUUCUUUAAUAACAGACUUCGUCUUCCCUGCAUGCUCGUGGGGCAUGGAGGGACGCUGGCCCCCACGAAGCAUUUCUCCCAUGAAUGCCUCUGACUCUGCACUUUGCUGUGCUCCCAGAAGACUGUAUUGCCACCAAGUUGGGGCCAUGUGCUGGGCCCCCAAGACAGCCGACAGUAGCAUUGAAGGCGUACCAUGGACCCCCAAAGUACUCCACAGCCAUGCAUUGCUCAGAAAGCUGACAAAGCUGAGAAGGCCACUGCAGCAAAAGGAUCCUAACUAUCUCAACCAAAGUUGAUGAUGCGGACACCUCUGAUAUUGCAGUAACAGUGAAGGCGUACCAUGAACCCCCACAGUACUCCUCAAAAAGAUGCUGUAGCUGAGAAGGCCACUGCAGCAAAAGGAUCCUAACUAUCUCAACCAAAGUUGAUGAUGCGGACACCUCUGAUAUUGCCGUAACAGUGAAGGCGUACCAUGAACCCCCAAAGUACUGCCAAUAAAACAACACAAGAUGGAUGACAACCAUGAAGCCUAUCAACAUGGUAGGGAUUUACCUUUAUACACUGAUGUGUGUUAGCACUGUAUACUCAUUACUUUCUCGAGGUUUGAAAAAAUAACAUACAUAUUUCUCGGGUGGGAUUGGAAUCCACAACCUGUGUAGUUCUAGAGCAGUGUCUUACCAACUAGACCACCAAGAUAGCCCGGUAGCUAAUAUGCUGAGUAAAGGGCCUGUGAUUUUUUUUUUAUACAACCCAUGUAAGCACUGAACAUACAGUGCUGCUAACACACAUCGGUUCAUUUGGGUAAACAAAAUAAAAGUAAAUAGUUAUUCUUUAGCCUCGAUGCAAAUUUCCAUCUAUGGUACAAUAUAAUAUUAAAGACAUCAACAAAACCAAUAACUAAUGACUCACCAUCCUUUCAUGAUAUGUUUCUUGAAAACUAGAAUAUUGGAAUGGAUGUACUCUUCCAAUUACCAUUAUCUUCAAGUACGCACUAAUCCUCCAAUCAGAUUCGCAGAAUGGAGUGGUGAUAAAAACCUAUAUUGCA